rnacentral:rRNA from 1 species
AGAGUUUGAUCCUGGCUCAGGGCGAACGCUGGCGGCAGGCUUAACACAUGUAAGUCGAGCGGGCCCUUCGGGGUCAGCGGCAGACGGGUGAGUAACGCGUGGGAACGUGCCCUUCGGUUCGGAAUAACUCAGGGAAACUUGAGCUAAUACCGGAUACGCCCUUUUGGGGAAAGGCUUGCUGCCGAAGGAUCGGCCCGCGUCUGAUUAGCUAGUUGGUGAGGUUAUGGCUCACCAAGGCGACGAUCAGUAGCUGGUCUGAGAGGAUGAUCAGCCACACUGGGACUGAGACACGGCCCAGACUCCUACGGGAGGCAGCAGUAGGGAAUAUUGGACAAUGGGGCAACCCUGAUCCAGCAAUGCCGCGUGAGUGAUGAAGGCCCUAGGGUUGUAAAGCUCUCUUGUGCGGGAAGAUAAUGACGGUACCGCAAGAAUAAGCCCCGGCUAACUUCGUGCCAGCAGCCGCGGUAAU